GAUGAACGCUGGCGGCGUGCCUAAUACAUGCAAGUCGAGCGAACAGACGAGGAGCUUGCUCCUCUGACGUUAGCGGCGGACGGGUGAGUAACACGUGGAUAACCUACCUAUAAGACUGGGAUAACUUCGGGAAACCGGAGCUAAUACCGGAUAAUAUAUUGAACCGCAUGGUUCAAUAGUGAAAGACGGUUUUGCUGUCACUUAUAGAUGGAUCCGCGCCGCAUUAGCUAGUUGGUAAGGUAACGGCUUACCAAGGCAACGAUGCGUAGCCGACCUGAGAGGGUGAUCGGCCACCCUGGAACUGAGACACGGUCCAGACUCCUACGGGAGGCAGCAGUCGGGAAUCUUCCGCAAUGGGCGAAAGCCUGACGGAGCAACGCCGCGUGAGUGAUGAAGGUCUUCGGAUCGUAAAACUCUGUUAUGAGGGAAGAACAAAUGUGUAAGUAACUAUGCACGUCUUGACGGUACCUAAUCAGAAAGCCACGGCUAACUACGUG
rnacentral:rRNA from 1 species